UACGUAGGCAGCGAGCGUUGUUCGGAAUUACUGGGCGUAAAGAGUGUGUAGGCGGUGUUCUAAGUUUGGUGUGAAAUCUCCCGGCUUAACUGGGAGGGUGCGCCGAAGACUGGAAUGCUCGAGCGUGGGAGAGGAAAGCGGAAUUCCUGGUGUAGCGGUGAAAUGCGUAGAUAUCGGGAGGAACACCAGUGGCGAAGGCGAUCAUCUGGGGUUGUUCUGACACUGAGGAGCGAAAGCUAGGGGAGCAAACGGG
rnacentral:rRNA from 1 species